AUCUGGGCUCAGAGAGUGAACGCCAUCUUUACUGGGAAGAGGGCCACUGCAGGGCGACCUCAGAGCCGCAGGAGACGCUCUGCUGCACAAGGCUUAAGCUGUCUCAGUGUGGUAAAUCCUCAUCAUGUAGAAGAUCACGGGUGGAGCUGGUCGCGGUGAUGAAGCGGGACCUGCAGUAUCUCCACCUGAAGUUCCCGAGGAUGAUCAUCUUCUCUUCCAUCGUACACAUGUACACAGGCAGUUAAAUAAAUCGAAUAAAAAAGUAUAUUUGAUACCGUUAAACCCACAAUAAAGCUGCUGUAACUACAGUAUUCAUAUGUUAUAGGAACAUGCUCAUUAGCUUGGCUAUUACAAAUUACAUGUGUUUCAUGUCCAGUUUGUCAGUAAACUGUCACAAAUAAAGGAGUUUCACCUUCA